rnacentral:rRNA from 1 species
UACGAAGGGGGCGAGCGUUGUUCGGAUUUACUGGGCGUAAAGGGCGCGCAGGCGGUCUUGAAAGUCAGGCGUGAAAGCCCCGGGCUUAACCUGGGAAUUGCGCUUGAUACUCUGAGACUGGAGUACGGGAGAGGAGAGUGGAAUUCCCAGUGUAGAGGUGAAAUUCGUAGAUAUUGGGAAGAACACCGGUGGCGAAGGCGGCGACCUGGUCCGACACUGACGCUGAGGCGCGAAAGCGUGGGGAGCAAACAGG